UAUAAGGGAUUUUGAGUUUUUACAUGCAACGUUUGACCACUCAUCUUAUUCAAAUUUUUUUAAAAUUAUUAUUUAUUUUAUUUAUGACUUACUUUAUUAUCUACAGUACUUUAAGCACAACUUUUCGUUUUUUAUAUUUAUAAAAUUUUUUAAUAAGACGAGUGGUCAAACGUUGCAAUCAAAAACUCAAAAUCCCUUAUA
rnacentral:pre_miRNA from 1 species